CCGCGUAGUUAAGCGUGCGGGAUGAGAACCUGCAGCAGGUUCGACUGAAUCGCGGAACGAUUAGGCUGAUGCGUCAGCAUUACCCGGAGGGCGAGGCCUGCCGGCCGAGGCAAUCCUGCACGACCCACCC
rnacentral:sRNA from 1 species